CACCUCCACUCUAUCUCUCUCAAUGUAGUAGAAACUAGAAGAUCUAUUUCUACUUUACAUUGGUUGCUAAGCCUAAAAAGAAAUAUUAUUUAGAGAAGAGGUUUUCCUUCGAGGGCACCUCUCAAUCUCUAUGAUAAUUUCUUGUCUUCUCCAGGGGCCAGGGGGGUCUCCUUAUAUAGUCCUCCGAUGUCUAUGCGUUUUUGGUUCAGCAGGUGAUGUGGUACUAAACUUUCCACCAUAUCUCAUUAAAAUGCACAUAGGCCUUAAUGGACCAAAAUCUGAUUUGGGCCCAAUUAAUCCCGCAGCUCUUUUAUGUGGAGUCCUUCUUUUAUUAAUAUCUUUUGAUUCCAAACUCCAAAUAUAGCAAAUAAUAUAUGCAUUUCGAUCAGCUCGAUGAGAUAUUUGUAAUGGUGUACUCUAUUCUGUGAUUGGUGCAAACACCUGGGCGGGCGCCCAAGGGGUGUGGGCGGGCGCCCUGCCCCCGGGCCCGUUCGCCUUCUCGUUCGUUCCCGUGGCUUCUGGAGUCUUCUAGAUGAUAGAAAAUUGUGCGGCACAUUAAUAUCUCUAUGUAAUCCCGACGUGUGGGCCUUUCUUCCAUAUUUCCUGAUAACCCCCUGCAGAAAUAGACAAACACCAAAACUCGUGGAAUUCUGUCAGAUAAAACCCUAAGUCUAGAUGUUGAUUUCAUUUGGAUCCUUUUCUUUGUUUAUUUGAUAAUUAAAUUUGAUACUUAAGGACCGUCAACAAACUCUCCCAAGCUUACCUCUUGCUCGUCCCUGAGCAAGGAUGAACUCAAGAGUUUCUGCAGUGGUUUCAUGCCUUAAAAGUACACACGCAUUCAAGCAAGAUCUCAUCUCUGAGUUAGAAUAAACUGUUAAGAUUUAAAACUUACUUAUUUUACCUUUCAGCAUGGGGCUUAUAACCGUCAUUUGUGUCUUGAGCAGUUAAAAGAUAGAACGGUCAAGUCAAGCGCCAUGUCUCUUAUUCUUGAUCAGCUAUAGCUCUGGGGUUUUUGCAGAUUUUUCAAAUAAAACUUAGAGAUUCCUUAUAUGACUCUCUCAGAUCUCUCUUUUGUGGUAUUUCUGGAUCCUUACCAAGGCAGUAAUGGUACAUGCCUUCUCUCAAAGUAUGUGGUAUUUUUGGUAUGAGGCAUAGUGAUAUUGCCUUCUCUCUCACCUACUCUAAUAAGGUUCUGAUAUCUGGAGCUCAUAGGUGGGAGACAGCUAAUACAUACUUACAAGACAUUUAUUGCAUAGUCAAACCAUGGAUCCAGAGAAACUAGUCAAUAAGUCAAAUCAAGAUGUGCAUGUGUGGCGAAUGAAUGGUGUAUGGUGAUGAUGGUGAUAAUAGUGGUGAAAGUCUAAUUCUACUUUUGCUCUUUUGAGGGGAUACAUACCUUUCUUGCACUUUGAAGCUUUUUGAGGAUAAUGAGAUGCUCUAUAUUUUCUUUUUCUUUCCUCUCAGGUGGCUAUCUUGUACCCCUAAUUCUACUGUCGGACACUUGUCCAUUUUUACCUCUCGUCUCACUUUUUUCUUUUUUUUCGAGGUUCCGGGCACUUGCCCCUUUUUAUUUCCUCGUAUUUUUUUUUCUUUUCUCUUUUUUUUACUAGAGCACUCAUCUCCUUAAAUAAUAUAGCAAGUGGUAGUAACCAAGAUAACUCGAGCAUUUAUUUCACAGGGAAUAACAGGGAUAGGAUGAUGUUUUUGGCUAUUCUCUCCCGGAUUAGGAGUAGAAUAAUUUCGGGUGAAUGUGGAGAUGGAAAUGAGUGGAUAUAUGUGGAUGGUACUUCCGGAGUAGAAGUAGCAUGUAUGAGUGAACGUGCAAGUGAAUCUUGAUUUUAACCACAUGACAAGCUCCUAAGGGUCUACACAGCUUGACCACACUCAAUGCUCAUAAGCAGUAAAAAGUAAAUAUGUGGCUCAAAGUCUAGCAAGCAUGUAUAUAUGGCUGUGGUAGGAAUUUAAACUCUCAUCAUAUAGGAACUCAGCAUGUGUUAUUUUAAAGAUUUUUCAAAGAUAAAAUUCUCCAGAAUUCUAGCAUCUCUAGGAACAGAUAAAUAGCAGCUCAACCUUCCCAUAUCAUAUCCGUUAACGACUUAGACUUUAGAUCAAGUACUCUUCCCACAAGUUCAGGUUAGAGCAAAUCUUACUUCAUAUCAGUCAUGCCUAAACUUGAGAGAGAUUUCAAUUUUGAGAACUAGUCAUGGCAGAGCAACUAUUCAUCAUUUCCAUGUGAGAGAUUAUCAUGAGGGUUCAUAGCAAACUUUAUUUAUUUAUUUAUUUAGCAAACUAAGCAAAGAGAUAUAUAUAUAUAAAAGCCCAAAAUCUUUAUUUGGGUUUUCUUGAUUAUGCAUCUUUUAUUAUUUGAGUAAAGUAUGAACGUGAGUAGAAACACUUAGCUGGAUAAAUGGGGGUGCUCUCCCCCAAGCUGGAUUUUGACGUAAUUUCUUCUGAUGUAGCUAGCAGGUGGCAGAGGUGUAUUUGAAAGUCAGCAGUAUUCUGACAGCGAUUAGAAUGUCCUCCGUCUGCUAGUCUUCUUGAUUCUUAAAUUCUGUAGAGCUCAUAUAGACAACAAAGCUUUGUGGAACUGGUUAAGUGUUAGCAUAAAUAUCUAGCCUUUAUCAUGUUGAGCCUCCUCAAUAAAUAUUACUUAUUUAGCAGGAUCAUGCACUUAUUAUUUUUAUAUUUUUAUUGUAAGAUGAAAACUUAUUUAUUUUAUUUUUAUGCCACCAUAGUGAAUGUACUUAUGGGUUUUAUGCCAUGAGCAUACUCACAUGGGGCUUACUAUUUUUUUAACAUUUUUAUUUUCUUUUCAAGAUAGCAUGAACCUGAUUAACUAAGCAAACUAUAAUUGAAUAAUUGAAAGGAAAAGGAUAACUACCAAGGUUACCUCUUGGCAAGACGUUCGGUGUUUUUAAGUCCUCCGAACGGGACUCUCCGUUUUCUGAGUCGUCCUGGGAUUCGCUAGGUGGCGUAGUCAGUGAUUCCGGCGGCGCCUCCUCUUCGUGUAUAACUAUCUUCUCUCUCCACACCUGACUCGGUGCUACGGUCUCCUCAGGAUAGUUGUAUUCAAGUUGUAUGUCUUCAGUCCUUAUCACUUCUCCUUCGUAGUCUGCCCAUCCGUCCUUGAUGAUUUGCCUCCUCUGGUUGCGGUUGCGUUAUCUUCUUCUUGUCUUGACCUGCUUAGAAUCUUCAACUAUAUAGUUAGAAUUAUUAAAGUAGUGGCGUACCUUCUCAGAGGGGAAGUGCAUGUGGACAUCUCCGGUUCCAAUGUAGAUGAUUGCUUUGAUAGUGUUGAGGAACGGUCUUCUAAGGAUGGUGGGUGGAUCAUACUCGUCUUCUCCCAUGUUAAUGACCUGAAGAUUAUCUGGAGCUGAAUGUAUGUUGGUUAUAAGGGCAUGGUUCCAUGCAGGAGCUGAUAAGUGACUGCAGCCAUUAUGUAGUCAUCAGAUCCGGUGUCGUAGAGUGUCUUCUGAAAAGAGUAUCCAUUGAUUGUGCACUCGAUGCUUGGAACACCAGGGUCGUCCUUCUUGAUCAGGAAAGGCGACUUGAGUCGACGAUCUUGACCUCUUUGAACUACAGUAACCAUCUUAGCUGACUCGGUCCACAUUUGCUUGUUCCUGUUCCUCCUGUUGGUCCUCUUUCUUGGUUCGUGUCGGGAUUGCUCUGAAAUUUGUGUAGUCUUGUUCUUGAAGGAAAGUCUCCUUCUUCCCCUUGAUGUAGAAACUAAUAUUGGCAGCAUUAACGUAGAUGACAGCUCUGGUGUUUAGGAAUGGCCUCCCUAAGUGAUGGGUGCCCUCUCCUCAGUACCAGUCUCUAUCACCACGAAGUCUGCUAGAGCGUACAAGGUACCAACUCGGACGCAGAGGUUCUUCAAUAUUUUCUUUGGGAAACUGAGUGUCCGAUCUGCAACCCUGGGCAUAAUGUUGACGCUGGAGCCAAAGUCACAGAGUGCUUCUGGGAAGUCCACCAUGCCGAUGGAGAUCGGGAUGACGGGGCGUCCUGGAUCACCUCUCUGAGUAAUUAGGCCUCUGUUGAUUCCAACCUUGGUUUUGUUGAGGACGGUUGUAGUAAUAGUUGUUAUUGUUGUUGAUGUAGUUCACGUCCUCAAGCAUCUGAGGGCAGUGAUUGCCUGAGUGUCCAGUAUCUCCAGUGUGUUUGUGCUCGUAGAUCCUGGUUCUUCACUUGGUGGAAUCUGGGAGUUGUAAAACUCCUCCAUGUUUUGCUUGAAGUGUGCCUGCUCAUAGAGACAAGGCAGAGAUCAAGUGCAUGGGCCCUGUUGGUGGAAAACACCAACAGAACCAAAAGUGUAUUUGUUCUUCUCUAACCUUAAGCAUAGUGAGCAAGACAAAGUUGAUGGAUCAUGAGUGUAGCAUUUAAAACAUUUGUUAGAUCACAUUGCUCAACCUAAUGGAAAGAUAAUCUAUCUAUAUUUAUGUUUUGUUUAUAUCUUCCAAAGAUUGAAUGUGCAACAUAUUAGCUUAUAUGAUUAGGAGUGUGGGAUCAUGAAGGUGGUACUAAGAACAAUGAUUAAAGGACU
rnacentral:lncRNA from 1 species